CGGCGUUCCUUUCCUGCUGUCAAGAGACAACAUGAAGUUAGUUAGUGCUUUGGAAGAAUGUGCAAGUUGUAGAAUUUUAAUAAGAUGAUAUAUCCUAUUUCCUUGCCUACCUUUCCUGCUGUCAGAAUGUUCACCUGGAAAGAUGCUCAAUAAAAAGAGAAAUAUUGGCUCAAGUAAAUAAAUAUUGGCUCAAGGAUUGGCUUAUGCUGGAUACUGCCGGAAAAUGGAAUCUGCUGGUGCAGUUGAAUAAGACAUAGCUGAACAGAAAGACAAGAAAUGUCUUGAUUGAAGAAUGCAAAUGAUUCUUACUGGCUCCUUGCUGGGACAUAUACAGACCUUCUACAGUACAAAAAGUUGAUAUAUUAAUGAAGAAUCCAACAAAAUAAAGACCUUUAUUUCUAAACAAGCCAAUUUCAAGCUGGAGUUUGUAUUUACUGGACUGCUUGUGGCUUUUGAGAUUGAAAAGUUUCAGAGGAAUAGACAAGACAUCUAUCAAGUGGGAAUGACUUAAUCUUGGUGAUACUUUUUAACUAUUUUUAACACUUAAAAGCAUCUUUAAAAUUGUUGUACCUAUUUCAGAAACCCUUAGUGGUGUUAUUUGAAAUAAGAUUAAAUAUCUAUAUAGAAAUAUUUUGCAUAAAUCUACAAAAAAUGAAUAUGCAUGAUUAGUAUUUGAAAAUGUUGUCCGGCAAUAAAGCCAAAUUUUAUAAUGGCAAUCUUAGCAAGUACUCGCUGAUAUAGAAUAUAUACAUUUUUCAAUAUCUAGAAGAGAUUAACUAAAAUUUCAGAUGAACAAGAAAAGUCAAUGAAUACUGUACAUUCAACUUGUGGAAAAUGCUGAAUACACAAGUUUUUUGUGCAAAUUCUAAUUUUGGUUUGUUAAUGGGAAAAUUGUUCAUUUGACGAUCUUUCUUAAUGUUUCGCACUGAUGGUGGAGUGGGGAGAAAGGUUGACAUUGGAGGUAUUAAUUUUAAAUGUUGACCUGUAUGCAAACAAAGGGGAAAUGUCCAGAUAAUUAUAGAAUCGCGAUAAGGACAUCAAAUGUAGUUUCUGACCAUAAAGUAAAUUUAGGUUUACUUAUGAAAACAUUUGUUUAACUGUGUGAAGACGCAUGCUUACAGCAGAAAGAUUUUGACCCUGCCAUAAUUUUCGCUUUACAGAAAUUUCUAUUUUAUAAAUUAAACUGGCGUCAUAUUUUGCGGAAACCAGGAUGAAAACGAAUCUUCUGUUAUUGAUACAAAACUAUUCGAGCACAUCAUAAUUGCUGCCAUAUGUUGCCAUAUGACAUUUGUGUCAAGUUAGGGAAACUUUUGUUGAAACUGGAUCUUCCUGCUUUAAAUAAGGUACAACAUUUGAUUCGAGUUACGAGUCGAAUAUUUAAACAUAGAUGUUCACCUCUAAACAUUCACAUCGAAAUAUGUUGCAACUAUUAGCUUUGGUAUAAUUUGGCAUUCUUUGAUCUUUGCUCUGUUAGAAGAUAUAUUGAAGGAAUUUUCUUAAAUUGUGAGUAGCAUACCUUCUACAAAUAAUAACGAUAUAUUCAAGUUAGUUAAUGAAGAGAAUCUUAAGAUCAUUGUAUUGUGAAUACAUCAGUUUUUGGGAUAUAAUUUAUACGAAUACACACAAUUUACUUUUCAAGUACUUCUGAAGCUGAAAAUUUAAAGAAAUUGCAUUGAAUCUUGGCUUUCCAAAUAGUCUCAAUUUCGAGAUGAAACAUGCCAAAAUGAGAUUUUUACACAUCAAUAUUUAAAUUUUGAAAAUCUGAUUAAAAUUCACAUUGAUCUUGGAAAUAGGUAUUUUGUCUUUAAUUUGCAAAAGAAUUUUAAUAGAGAAUGAUUAAAAACGAAAUUUAUCUAGUAAAGUAAAAAUGUAAAUAAUCCAGAUUUUUGUUUUGAAUUCUGGUCUUAUCCACUCGUACAUACUAACAUUCCAUUUGACUAAAUAUUGUAUAAAUUUAAGAAAUCCUGAAAGUUUUUGCGAUUUUCAAUCGUAAGGAAGUAUUAUAAUCAUGGUCCAGAAAUUGAAACCUAGAUUACGACCUACAUAUCGAGUUGAUUGUUAGUAGAGAAUGCCAUCUCUAAAUCACCCAUGUGAUCUUUUACCAUGCAUAUCAGAUAUGGAAGUAUAGUGUGAAAAUUAAGGCUAAAUGGCUACAGUGUAUUCAAUUGAGCGAAAAGCCUAAAUAAUAAAGAAUGCUUUAGCUGCCUGGCACUACGGAGUGCCCGUGAAAAUGUCUGUGCGAGUUCUUAUAAUAGAAAAGGUGGUGUUGCCACAAGCUUAACAAACGCAUUGAAACAGAUAACCACCGUGCGACACCACAUAAAUAUUUCAUUUGGACAAACAUGCAUCAGUAAAUACUUGUUUAACGAAAUAGUUUUCCCAUUUAUAUUUUAAAACAAGGUUGUCAAGGGAUCCGCAUAUUUCCAAUAUUUCCAUUUGAUUCAAGGCUAGAUACUAAAAGUCAAUGACUUGAUUUUGCAUCAGAAACAUCAAUUUUAUCUUUUGAGUGGAAGGUGUCCGAUAUUCCAUGUUUUUGGUAAUCCAUAUUUCAAACGAAUAUUUUCUUUAAUCAUCAAUAAUAUUUUUUCGGCAGGCCUCCAAAUAACUGAUUAAAUUUGACAAUCCAGAUAUUCUUGAAAAGACGCUUUAACUUCACAAAACCUGCAAUAUCUAUUCAUUCUGUGCUUUGUGGACAUUUUUUUAAAAUGUUGCAUUUUUGGCAUAUAUUACAUCCAUAAUUAGAACCAUAUAGAUACAACACUAGAAAUCUUAACUUGCGGCAUGAUAUCCGAAUUCGCUCUUUAGUAGAUAGUUUAUUUUAAUUGUAACAGUUUAAAAGAACUUCAAUUUUUCCCUCACUUCAAUACUGAAAUAUAAAGAUGAGCUACUUUAAGAUGUAUAGGGAAAUACUGGGGAGGUGUGCGCACACAUUUAGGCUAAAUAGUUUAGGUGGGAAAAGGCAUGAGAUUUAUGAUAAAUCGAGAUAAAAGUUAAAGAUUAGAAUAAUUAUAACUUGCAUUUGGGAAGUUUUAGCUAAUUUAAUGUUGAUUAAGGUUAAACUAGUAAUACCCCCCCCCUUCCUUCAAAAGUAUAAGGGAUGGUGCCAGCCGGCUGGUGAGGGUGGGAAUGCAUAGAUAUAGCUAAACUUAAUGCCCUACUCACCCCUAUUAGGAGAAAGCUUAAUUUAUAUUUUCAGUAUUGGUAGUAUGGGAAAAUUGCGAGUUCUCAAUGAAGUAGUAUCAAACCGUAAAGUAAGCAUACAUUAUUUUCGGUUCUGAAAGCCCACUCAAAGUAUACACACUUUGCUUUUUAUGUAUUAUGCAUAAUACAUUAGAUACUUAGUUUCCUUUGCAUUCAAAGCAAUGAGACUUUUCAGUGCUUACAAAGAAUAACUAAACGUUCAAAAUUCCUCAGUUUUCUAAGUUGUUGGAAGUUAAAUUGUGCAAAACUAGAUUCCUCUAAUCAUGAAAUUUCCGAAAUAUCCAUUGAUAUUUACAAUCAGCUGCAUGUUAGAUACUUGAAUUAAACUUUGAUAAAACACGUCAAGCAAUGAAAAUAGUAUUUUUUCAGUUUCUUAAAUGUCACCGGUAAUAGAUAAUCUAUAUUAGAUAUUAUAUGUGGAAUUCGUAAGGGAUCUGUUGAUUAUUUCUUUGCAGUUUUAAUUUUAUCAUUUGACCAAGAGCAAAUAUUUUUAAAUCUUAUUGCGUCUAAGUAACUUUUUCUUAGAUACAUAUUUGACGAAUAUUCGAAUUUGUGAUAUUUUAGAUGCUUGGAGAUUCGCUAAUUUUUUGAUGCUUCUAAUUUGCGUGUGGUUUUCCUAGAGAUGGGUCUUUGUAAAAUAGUUCACUUUGCUACAUUUAAUUUCUACACAUGGCAAGAUACAUUUUGUUUGCUUUAAAUGCAUUUCUGGAGGCAUCGGAGGAAAAACUUUUACUUCUCGGACUUCUUGGAUAGAAGUCCCCAAAUCCAGUUUUGUAGACUAUAGUUUGGAGCAUGAAGGUUUGAUUAGUAUAGACAAUAUUCUAAAAUUCCUGGAAUAUUUGGUAAUAGGUGCCACUAUAAUUAUGUUUGUAAAUUAUUGAAUAUUCUUAACAUGCUAGUUAAUAUAAAAUCUCAGCUAUUAGAAACGUUUCUCAACACUAUCUUAAUUAUACUUUGAAAAGCAAAAUCAUGUUGCAGCUUUCAAAAGAUAUCGAUUAAAAAUGGUUCAAUUUCUGCACGCGUUUGGACUGAGCCACAAUCAUAACUGAUGGUUGAAAAGUAACUCUUGCUGGAUUUGGAAGCCAAUAUCGCACAAUCUUUUAAGCAAAAGUAGCUGUCGCUCUUCAAUAUUAAAAAUUCUUUUCAACUGUGCUGUUGGCGGGUAUUUUGUUGGCAUAAUGAUUAAUAUAUUUUGGCCACAGGGGAUUUUCUUUACAGGAAUAAGCAACAAUUACUUCAUGAAAAUUUGGAUUUUCUAUUGAAAUUUUUAAAUGUUUGCAUGCAACCUCAUUCAUACAUCUUGGGAAUAGGAUUAAAAAUACGAGUACUUGCUUUGAGCC